UACAGAGGGUGCAAGCGUUGUUCGGAAUUACUGGGCGUAAAGCGCGUGUAGGCGGCCCGGCAAGUCCGCUGUGAAAGUCGGGGGCUCAACCCUCGGAUGCCGGUGGAUACUGUCGGGCUCGAGUACGGAAGAGGCGAGUGGAAUUCCUGGUGUAGCGGUGAAAUGCGCAGAUAUCAGGAGGAACACCAAUUGCGAAGGCAGCUCGCUGGGACGUUACUGACGCUGAGACGCGAAAGCGUGGGGAGCAAACAGG
rnacentral:rRNA from 1 species